rnacentral:rRNA from 1 species
UACGUAGGGUGCAAGCGUUACUCGGAAUUACUGGGCGUAAAGCGUGCGCAGGCGGUUAUGUAAGACAGGUGUGAAAUCCCCGGGCUUAACCUGGGAAUUGCAUUUGUGACUGCAUGGCUAGAGUGUGUCAGAGGGGGGUAGAAUUCCACGUGUAGCAGUGAAAUGCGUAGAUAUGUGGAGGAAUACCGAUGGCGAAGGCAGCCCCCUGGGAUAACACUGACGCUCAUGCACGAAAGCGUGGGGAGCAAACAGG